rnacentral:pre_miRNA from 1 species
CCCACACCCAUGUAUGUAGGACCCCAAAGGAUCACCAUUAAAUAUGGCUAAGAUCUCUAAAAAGUUAUCGCAUGGGUGUGGGACUUGACUUUUCUAGAGAUCUGGGCCAAAUUUAAUAGCGAUCCUUUGGGGUCCUACACACAUGGGUGUGGA